CCUACGUCUGUUACCGAUGGUUGGCAAGAGGGACCCGGGAACCUGAUGCCAGUGCAGAGCUGCGCACCUCGGAUGGAAGAACUCCGUGCAGUGCUGGCUGGGCACUGGCUGGCUGGAAAGUAACUUUGUACAACAAGAGACGGGGACCUGGUGAACAAACAGAACACAAUUUGGUGUGGUACCCAUCUAGGAAAAUAGGCCAUGGGACUGCAUUAGCAAGAGCGUAGCCAGCAAGCAAGGGAAAGGAGGGUUUCCCUCCCUUCAGCACAUGGGAGAUGGCACCUGGAGUUGAGUGCAGUUAUGGAUUUCCUAAUAAGAAAGACAUUGACAUGUUAGGACACAUUAGUGUGUCUCAAAAAUGAAAAACAAAACAAGGAAAAGUAAUAUGACUGGUGAAAUGAGCAACAGAUUGAGGGCAAUUUCCCAAUGUGUAAUUCACAGUUAAUAAUAUCAACUGCAUUUAGUCUAUUUUCAAGUAAUGUGUUCAGGCAGGUUGUGAUUUCCUAAAAACGCUUCCUUCCUUUGCUGAUCUAAGGCAAUGCACUGAACGUAACAGAAAGACUUCCAUUAAUAAGGACACCAUGAUUGUUUUGGCUUUGUGGAUUGGCCCUCAAGAAAAUCUCUGCAACCAAUAGCAUUUAUAGAAAAGGAUGGAAGGGUUAUUUUCUAAGGUUCAUUUCUUAUUGGUUUAUCCUUGCACUGCAAGUCAUAAUAAAUAUUAGUUUCUACUAAUAAGCAGUAUUCUUGGAGAUGAGCGGUUCCUGCACUGCUUUCCAUGCUUGCUACAGUACCCCUGUUUUUAAAGGUGACUCAAAUGCUUCCUUGUACAGUUUUAAACUUUGGUUUCUGCUAACUCAUGAUAAGAGUCCGCAAAGCCUUGUGUCAAUAAUGCCAAGCUCUACCAAGUGGCUACAAAAGGAGUAUGAGCUUGGUUAAACGCAGUCACUUACAGAGAGGAUAUUUAAGCGGAGAGUUCUUACGCUGUCAGUGUUAUACCCAUUCCCAUUCGGAUCUCUGUUAUAUGAUCAUGAAGUGCAAAGUAAAGCUCUACGGUGUUAACUACGUCCAUGAUCAUACAUCCAUCCCAAGUGUUUAUUCAAUCUGAAAUACAGCUUUCAGAAAGAUGUUGUCAGUGACAGCUCCCAGGGUAAAAAUAAUCUUCAGGAAGCACUGACAUGAACAUGAAGGCCAGCUCUCUGUUCUUCAAGUUUUGGCAAACCACGGAGCCCCUCUCUGCACCUUUUGCUCCACUUUGCUACUGCUGCCAGGCUCAUCAUAGGUCUGCACGCAAAGAACAGCACAGGAUAAAGCACUGGCAUAACAUUGGUUGAGAUGUUUAUCUGAUAGCACUCUCCCUGACACAGUCUGGGAGACAGUCUGUGGCCAGCCAGCAUUCUCAAAAUGCCCAGGCAUAGUGUGAGACAUGGUACUGGGUGAGGAUUAUCCUCACCAGGCAGCACAAGCCAACGCCGCCUCGAAAGGGAGGAGCACAACCUAGUCCUACAGACAUGAAUCCUACUGUGCCAGGGAAACGGGCUUGGUUGAUUCUGCUGGCUUUGACAAAGUCAAAAGGAUGAGGGCUUCCUUUUUUGGGAACCUUCCAAAGGCAAUAGCUUAUUUUCCCAGGAUCUUUUCAUCUGCUAAAUAAUGUUCCGACACAGUAAUGUCUGUGCAAAUGAAAACAAUCAUUUUGCAUGCCUUUACUAAUGAAACAAAACACUAAUUCUACUAGUGAGUUCUCCCAUAGAGUUUCCAAAUGAAACAUUCAUCAGAAUUCAACAUUAUAGCAAAAUCAGAACGAUAAUAUUGACUAGGCACAAUCAGACAUUAAUUGCUUGUCACGCCAUGAUGAAUGUUUUUCUUUAUCUAUGUGAUUAUAUCUAUACACUAUGCUGUAGUACUACUGUUCUGUAAGAAGAGUCUGAUUUUCUGGGGUAAUAUGUUCAUCCCUUAACAGUACGAAAAAGCCCUGUAUUGAUUAUUUUAAAUUCACAGCAGGCUUCUCCCCUGUGACUAAUUGUGCAUUCUGUUGUGCUUCCAGCCUCCCGUCCCUCUGCACAGCUCCUAUGAAUCUUUAAUUCCCUUCUAACUCAGAGAUGCCAGAGUCACUUUUCAUCAUCACGUCCACUCAGCCGAAUUCCAAUGAUCGCCACAAAACAGAGGACCAAAAUAUAUUUUUGAGAUUGAUUGUUUCACGAGCUCUAUUGUUUCACCAGCUGUAUUAAGAGAACAUUAACUUUCAUUCCACCACGCGUUCUUCCUAGCAGGUUUUCAAACAGCAUUUCCUCUGAUAAUUUCAAAUAUGUGGGAGCAGGGUGGGAAAAUAAAAGACCUUUCAAUAUCAAGAGAUCCCUUGGAAAAAAUCUUUCCAUGAAAUGGAUCGUUUUUCAGUAAGUUCUUUCUUUUCAGGAAGUAGAAGUAUUUCACUAAAACUGUAGUGAGAAAGAUUUCUACAUAUAUAGAGUGAUUUUUUCUCCCUCUUUGAUCAGCCUUAUCUUUAGUGGUCGUAACAUUUCAUUUAUUAUUUAGUUAUGCUGCUUUUUCUCCCCCAUGUUUUGAUAGAAUUUUUCAACUGUAUUGUAUUUAUAUUUUACAUGAAUGAAUCAUGUCCAUUAACUUUCUUUUCUAUAUUCAGAUAAGACUUGUUGUUGCUUUCCUUACAGUUGCAUUGUUUUUUCCUUUGCGAUGAAGUGCAGGAGCAACGUGAUUUUUACAUCCAUUUGCUAUAUCUUUGAAACCAAUAAUUUUUAAUAUGACAACUUUAAUUUUCACAAUGCUAUUAUCAUCUCCUCAGUAUUAUUUCUGAAAACAGUAAAGCUGGAAGGAUGCAGCGUAACUUUACAGAGCGAUAUAUGCAGCUGGUGGAGGCCUCACAGGCAGCAGGAAAACCAAAGUGAGAGGAGAACGCCAAAGGGAGAGCAAACCCUCAGCGAACCCAUGGCUUCAUUCAGGCUGGAUGGCCCGGGGUGAGACACAGCAGACAGCUUCAGCGACCCCAGGAGAAUUGCUGGCGAGUCACAGGCCCCUUCCCAGAAAGGCAAAUGAGAAGCUCCUGCUUCUGGUGUGAGGAGCGGGCACCUUCCCCGCUGGCUCUGGCAGCUGAGCCGCAGGGGCUAUGGGGGCUGAUCCCCUGUGCUCAAACCCCACAGCACGUACACCAGUGUGUGGAUGUGAUAUAGGCAGCAGAGGGAAACUUGCAGGAGGAAAGCACAACAUUCCAAACAUUUCUAGUGCAAGGUAGCCUGCCCUCAUAAACAGAUUCAAAGCCUUGUUCCUUCCUUCUUUCCCGUUAACUUGUUUCUUUUCCUAUUUGUCUACAGAAACGACCAGUUCAAGCCGUUAUACCUAGCUGUAUCAAGAACACACAAAAGAAACACACAGAAUGCUGUACCCACUGACUUAUCCCACACCUGAGAUUAAAAUCAGAAACAAAUCUCAUUGUUCCUUCAACAUUUCCUUAGAUGUUUUUAAUAUAGCUGCAGCUAAUAAACAAAUUUUUAGAUAUGGGGCAGUGGACCCUGAAAGCAUGGUCUGACCAGAUGGGUACAAGCAUAGAGACAAAUCAGUAAUUCAAGAUAAAUGAGGCUUCAUGGCCCCUGUAGGAAACGAGUGACAGAUCUCAUGCUCAGAGCAUUAACAUGACAUAAAUUCAAAAGACUGGAAAUUUAUGUGGACCGUUAACACUGCACACAUGUGCACAAACACAUGCAAUUUCUUAAUCAGUCCUGGCUCGAUUUCCAUGUACCAGCCCCAGGUCAGGAAGGGUGAAUGCUUGCAAUCAAUAUCCAGUUGUUAGAGUAACAGCCAUGUCGGUUCUGGAUGGCUGAGUGGGUGAAAACAUGUUUGUUCUACUUAAUGUGACACAGUCCCGUCAAAUUAACAACCACGAUGGCAGGAGCAGGCUUGCUUAAUGGGCUGAAGUCAGUUCCACAGAGGAUUUAUUAUCAACACUCAACCAAUAGAUCCGAAACCUCAUUACUAAAGGUUUAUUUGCCGAUAAUAACUGAAGGCACACUUUAUGUACAUAGGCAUUGUCUGAUUUUAAAGAUACAGCACGCUACACCGCUCAGCAAACAGACUGCCUCUGAACUGCCAUAACCUCGAGGUAACACCACACCUGUAUGUCAGCUGGGUGCUGCAGUUAUUUAGCCACCUCCUUGCCUGGUUAAGCUACAAUAGGUGCUACCCUUACACAUGCAAACAGUUCCUUUUUUCUGCUGAGUUCCUGUGGGGACUGUACAGGACAUGCAGACCCCAAGAAGCAAGCCCUAAGCAAGGGCUGAAGCAGCAGCUGGGGCACCCAGUGCCCAGGCAGAGCAAGCACCUGGCAGUCACCCAUGGCCCGAACCAGCUCCAUGCCUUGGAGCCACAGAGCCACCGCAGGCACCUUCUGGCAACCAGAGUGGUCACAAUUUGAGCUGAAAGCUGAGCAGCUUGAAAAUGGACUUAUUUUGGCUGCAGCUGAACAUCCUCUGACUAUGAAAUGCUGCCACCAGAGAAUUCCAGGCAGAAUGGAGAGUGCCAGUGCUUACGAGGAAGAUGAGACAGAAAGGCAGAGCUCACGGUUACCUCGUGGCUCCAUGGUUGUCCCAAUUUCUUUAUAUAUUGGUGCCAAACUGCUAAAAUAUUGCACUUAGGCAAUGUCUGAUAAAACAGGUAUAUUUCUGAAAGCUUAAAAAAAUUAAAAAAAAAACACUAAGGUUUAAGAAUAUUUAACCUACAUGUCUCACUUGCAUAGUUUGUGUUUCAAGCAAAUAAUUUGUUAAAAAUACAAUUAUGUAUGAUAAAAAAAAUCAGAUGAAUCAAUCAAAUUAAUCAGUCAAAGACUGGCAGUAUCGUGAAUUCACCCUUAAGAACAAUGAAUUAAGAAAAGCUAAUAAAGCUCUAUUUAAGAAAUAAAGAUAAUUAUUCUAACAUUUA